rnacentral:lncRNA from 1 species
UUAAGUCAGAUUGGCUUCUUUCACAUCUCCAACAUUUAGCUCAUCACUGUGAAACUACUGUGGGUCUCGGAGGGGAGCUGUGGGAACCAUGAAAGAGCAUAGACACUGUAGCCAUGGUGAGAUUGGGGCGGAGCUAUUUCGGUUCCUUCUCUCACUGUUGAGGAAACACCUGACAGAAGCCACUUAAGAAAGGAGGGGCUUUUAGCUCAUGGUUUGAGGGAGAAAAUCCCAUCAUGAAGAGGAAAGUGUGGUGGGAGGGGCAAGAAGCAGCUCUAGUCAGGAAGAAGAGAGACGAGAGCCGGGCCUCAGCCCGCUUUCUUGUUCAUUUUUAUUUAGGUUUAUUUAUUUUAUUUAGUGUGUAUGAGUGUCUGGCCUGCUCUUUCUUGCUUUUCAAAAAUUUAGGUUUAUUUCUUUUAUUUUGUGUGCAGGAGUGCUUUGCCUGCGUGUGUGUGUCACUGCUUGCAUAGCUGCUACCCGAGGAGAUGAGGAAAGGCUGUUGGAUCCUUGUAACGGGGAUUACAGGUAGGUGUGAGCCAUCGAGUUGGUGAUGAAAACAGAACCGUGGUCUUC